rnacentral:snRNA from 1 species
AUACUUUUGCAAGCCACUGUAUAUUAAAUGGAUUUUUGGAACAGGGAGAUGGAAGAAGAGCUUGCUCUGUCCACUCCACGCAUCAACCUGGUAUUGCAGUACCUCCAGGACCGAUGCACCUCUU